GACAGAGGGUGCAAACGUUGUUCGGAAUUACUGGGCGUAAAGCGUGCGUAGGUGGCUUGUUAAGUCUGUUGUGAAAGCCCCGGGCUCAACCUGGGAAUGGCAAUGGAUACUGGCAGGCUAGAGUGCGGUAGAGGGUAGUGGAAUUCCCGGUGUAGCGGUGAAAUGCGUAGAGAUCGGGGAGGAACACCAGUGGCGAAGGCGGCUACCUGGACCAGCACUGACACUGAGGCACGAAAGCGUGGGGAGCAAACAGG
rnacentral:rRNA from 1 species